GUGCAGCAUGAAAGGAAAGAAGUUUAGCACUCCCUUCAAUAAGAAUGGAAAAUGACAUCUGUGGCCUUUACAACAAAUACAUGGCUAAGGUGUUGACACUCACUUUUGGCAUACACCCACCAUUCUUU